AUUGAACGCUGGCGGCAUGCCUUACACAUGCAAGUCGAACGGCAGCACGGGAGCAAUCCUGGUGGCGAGUGGCGAACGGGUGAGUAAAGUAUCGGAACGUGCCCAGUCGUGGGGGAUAACGUAGCGAAAGUUACGCUAAUACCGCAUACGAUCUAUGGAUGAAAGCGGGGGAUCGCAAGACCACGAGCGAUUGGAGCGGCCGAUAUCAGAUUAGGUAGUUGGUGGGGUAAAGGCUCACCAAGCCGACGAUCUGUAGCUGGUCUGAGAGGACGACCAGCCACACUGGGACUGAGACACGGCCCAGACUCCUACGGGAGGCAGCAGCGGGGAAUUUUGGACAAUGGGCGAAAGCCUGAUCCAGCCAUGCCGCGUGCAGGAUGAAGGCCUUCGGGUUGUAAACUGCUUUUGUACGGAACGAAAAGGUUUGGCCUAAUAAGCUGAGCUCAUGACGGUACCGUAAGAAUAAGCACCGGCUAACUACGUGCCAGCAGCCGCCGUAA
rnacentral:rRNA from 1 species